ACCUAGAGUUCCCACCUUUCCUUUCUGUAAGAUGGGAAGUCCAAGAUCAAGGUUCUGGACAGUUAGCUUUCUGGUGAGGGCUCUAUUCCUGGCUUGCAGAUGGCUGCCUUCUCACUGUGUCCUCAGCAUUAAUGGUCUGGUGCCACCACUGCCGUCCAAUAUCACUGGUAUCAGCUGGGAAAUCAACUCAGUUGCUGCUACUGCUGCCAUCACCAGAAAUAGUCUGCUUGCAUCACCACCAUCAUCAUAGCUACUUGUUCCCAGUCCUAAGC